rnacentral:rRNA from 1 species
UCCGUAGGCGGGCAAUUAAGUCAGAGGUGAAAUCCCACAGCUCAACUGUGGAACUGCCUUUGAUACUGGUUGUCUUGAGUUUUAGUGAAGUAGAUAGAAUGUGUAGUGUAGCGGUGAAAUGCAUAGAUAUUACACAGAAUACCGAUUGCGAAGGCAGUCUACUAACUAACAACUGACGCUAAUGGACGAAAGCGUGGGGAGCGAACAGGAUUAGAUACCCUGGUAGUCC